AAAACGAAUCAAUGAAACAUGAAAACUCUCAGCUGAGAUGGGCCCUCUUGUGUACGUCUAGCCACUAAUGCACAGGAUGAGAAUGCGGUCCCAAAGAAAUCUGGUACAUAAAUUUGCCGUAUUUUGUGAAGCCCAUUCUCAGCGAUGGGUACUGUUCAGCUCCAAAAAACAGAAAUGAAGAAAGACGAGGAAAGCUAAUUCAUACUAAAAACGGACAUUUUUAAGACACAGCAACUUGUAAUAUCAACAUGGGACCACACUGUUGCCUUCAUGGGGCAGCACUCAACAAGAACUGGGACAAUCGAAGAGCAAGUUUUUAUGGGGACCCUGUUGCUGCUUUAGAUUCUGAUGUAAUUGAAGAGGAUAAGAGACCCUUCAAAGAAUCCCAGAAAAAUCGCUAAUCUUCUCUCUGCAUGAAAAAAGCCAAGGAGUGAACACAGUAUCUUACAGAGUGAAGAAGGCCACAAGAACAAGAGAGGGCUAUAAAAGAACUUCCUUUUUAAAAGCUUCAGAAGAGGGGCCUUUCACAGAGGUCAGUGCAAUGAUGUAAAAGAGAAGCUACUACAGAGCAGAGAGGCAGACAGCAGGAUUCCUCUCACAAUCACUGCCACUAGCUGAUGGCUGCUGACCCCUCGCGCGUGAGGGAAACGUCCCAUGACCCAGCAGCUGGACAAAACUGGACGAGCACGUCACCAAAG